rnacentral:rRNA from 1 species
GACUCUCGGCAACGGAUAUCCCGGCUCUCGCAUCGAUGAAGAACGUAGCGAAAUGCGAUACUUGGUGUGAAUUGCAGAAUCCCGUGAACCAUCGAGUUUUUGAACGCAAGUUGCGCCCGAUGCCAUUAGGUUGAGGGCACGUCUGCCUGGGUGUCACAUAAAG